AUUGAACGCUGGCGGCAGGCCUAACACAUGCAAGUCGAGCGAGCGGCGGACGGGUGAGUAAUGUCUGGGAAACUGCCUGAUGGAGGGGGAUAACUACUGGAAACGGUAGCUAAUACCGCAUACCAUCAGAUGUGCCCAGAUGGGAUGAGCUAGGAGGUGGGGUAACGGCUCACCUAGGCGACGAUCCCUAGCUGGUCUGAGAGGAUGACCAGCCAAACUGCGACGUAGACACGGCCCAGACUCCUACGGGAGGCAGCAGUGGGGAAUAUUGCGCAAUGGGUGCAACCCUGACGCAGCCAUGCCGCGUGAAUGAAUAAGGCCUUCGGGUUGGAAAGUUCGUUCGGUAGCGAGGCGUUAACUACAGAAGAAGCACCGGCUAACUCCGUGCCAGCAGCCGCGGUAAUAC
rnacentral:rRNA from 1 species